rnacentral:rRNA from 1 species
GAUGAACGCUGGCGGCGUGCCUAAUACAUGCAAGUCGAGCGAACGGACGAGAAGCUUGCUUCUCUGAUGUUAGCGGCGGACGGGUGAGUAACACGUGGAUAACCUACCUAUAAGACUGGGAUAACUUCGGGAAACCGUAGCCAAUACCGGAUAAUAUUUUGAACCGCAUGGUUCAAAAGUGAAAGACGGUCUUGCUGUCACUUAUAGAUGGAUCCGCGCUGCAUUAGCUAGUUGGUAAGGUAACGGCUUACCAAGGCAACGAUGCAUAGCCGACCUGAGAGGGUGAUCGGCCACACUGGAACUGAGACACGGUCCAGACUCCUACGGGAGGCAGCAGUAGGGAAUCUUCCGCAAUGGGCGAAAGCCUGACGGAGCAACGCCGCGUGAGUGAUGAAGGUCUUCGGAUCGUAAAACUCUGUUAUUAGGGAAGAACAUAUGUGUAAGUAACUGUGCACAUCUUGACGGUACCUAAUCAGAAAGCCACGGCUAACUACGUG